rnacentral:rRNA from 1 species
AGUGAACGCUGGCGGUAGGCCUAACACAUGCAAGUCGAACGGCAGCACAGGAGAGCUUGCUCUCUGGGUGGCGAGUGGCGGACGGGUGAGGAAUACAUCGGAAUCUACUCUGUCGUGGGGGAUAACGUAGGGAAACUUACGCUAAUACCGCAUACGACCUACGGGUGAAAGCAGGGGAUCUUCGGACCUUGCGCGAUUGAAUGAGCCGAUGUCGGAUUAGCUAGUUGGCGGGGUAAAGGCUCACCAAGGCGACGAUCCGUAGCUGGUCUGAGAGGAUGAUCAGCCACACUGGAACGGAGACACGGUCCAGACUCCUACGGGAGGCAGCGGUGGGGAAUAUUGGACAAUGGGCGCAAGCCUGAUCCAGCCAUACCGCGUGGGUGAAGAAGGCCUUCGGGUUGUAAAGCCCUUUUGUUGGGAAAGAAAUCCAGCUGGUUAAUACCCGGUUGGGAUGACGGUACCCAAAGAAUAAGCACCGGCUAACUUCGUGCCAGCAGCCGCCGUAA